rnacentral:tRNA from 1 species
AAAAAUUUAGUUAAAUCUAUAACAUUAGUAUGUCAAGCUAAAAUUAUUUUAGUAAAAUAAUUUUUA